rnacentral:lncRNA from 1 species
UUGCGUGUAGUUGAAGAAAAUGGUGUGGAGCUCUACAUCUCUGCAGAGACCAACAGCUGUCCUCCAGCAGCUGGAAAUAUCUACCAACAGCUGACAGCUCUCGGUGAAGUCUUCUGACUAGGAAUGGCUCAGCACCAGGCCUCUUUUCAGAAGCUAAAACAGAUUCGUGUUCCGGCAAAGCUCACAAUCCGGGGUCCGGCGUUACUUCUCCAGAGCUCGCUGCAUGUAGACGGCGCAGUCUCCAUCGGGCUGCGGCCCCGCUCGGAUGAAGGUGGCUGCUCUUUCCUGAUGCUCUUCCCCGCGCACACAGCAGCAGCCAGUUACCGCACCACCCUGCCAAGGUGCCUCACCUUCCCUGCUUUGAUUUCAGCGGCUUCACCUGUCUCCAGGAGUCCAGCUCCUGACUCAGAAUGCUGCGUCUUUUGCAUACUGCCUGUGAAGACAGAAAGCAUUCCAAUAGUGGCUUUUAUGAUGCACUUUUUAUACUGCAUCCUGCUAUUUUGAGCUAUGGGAUACUGGAGAUUACACAGCCCCUCGUUAGCAACUGGGUCAAAUAUCCACAUCUCUUCCAAGAUCAAAACCCUAGGAUCGCUCCUUUCAAAAAGUCAGUUGAAGGGAAGAUUCACCAUUAGCCUAUAUAUAGUGUUAAUCAAUACGUGAAGGUUCAAAGGCAAAAUAAAAUAUUUCCCAUAAUUCUUAGGGAAUGGAAAAGACCAGUUUGAUCAAAAUGAAUUCUUUUCUUUAAAAUAUGAAGAAGAGUUUAAUGAACAUAAAAAGUGCAUUUAAUCUCUUUGAGUUAACAUCUAUAUAGCUCUUUCAUUUAACACUAAAGGAAACUACAUUAAUGCAACACACAGGGAAAUCCCUCCACCGUAAAGAUAAUUAUGAUCGCCUCCUAAUGACUUCUCCACACCACUUAAACUAAUUACCUUUAUGAGAAUACCAUGUUUGUCAUUUUCUUUUCAGUUCUAUUAUCUUUCUAACUCAUGGUGUCUCGGCUCUAAAUCUGAGUGAGGAAAGACACAAACUGCGAUCAAAUACUGAAAUGAUAAAUAGAUGGAAAUCUUUAAAAGAAAUCUCACACGCUUUACUGACGUUGCUUUCACAUCCAUCCAUAGGGUCUCCCUCGCCUCAGUGAUUGGCUCCUUGCCACACCUUGACCCUGCAUCAU